rnacentral:lncRNA from 1 species
GAAAGGUGUCGUCAGGAUGACUUGUCAAGCUGAUUUAAAAGAGCAUUAACUUCUACACUAUGUGCUAUUGACCAAGAGAGGACGCUGUUUCUCAGCAGUCAGCUGCCUUGAGUUGGAGGUGAGAAUUGUUUACUACACAGACAGCAACGGCGUCCUGUGAUUUCUCUUGAUGCUCUGGACUUCCAUUGACUGAUCAAACUGUGCAAUCAGAUCUCAACUGAGCCCACAACCAAUUGACUUAUUAGAAAAUCUGUGCAAGUUUCUGUCUCCUGGAUUCAGUUUUUCUUGCUCUCUUCACCUCUCACACUUUCUAGCCAUGCUGAGAGGAGGGAUCACAAGGGUGUAUUACUGAUGUAUUUGAUGUCAGAUUAAAAAAAAAUAU